rnacentral:rRNA from 1 species
UAAGGGGAAGAAAGAAACAACAGGGGAUUGCCCUAGUAACGGCGAGUGAAGCGGCAACAGCUCAAAUUUGAAAUCUAGGCUCUUUUAGAGUCCGAGUUGUAAUUUGCAGAGGGCGCUUUGGCUUUGGCAGCGGUCCAAGUUCCUUGGAACAGGACGUCACAGAGGGUGAGAAUCCCGUACGUGGUCGCUGGCUAUUGCCGUGUAAAGCCCCUUCGACGAGUCGAGUUGUUUGGGAAUGCAGCUCUAAAUGGGAGGUACAUUUCUUCUAAAGCUAAAUAUUGGCCAGAGACCGAUAGCGCACAAGUAGAGUGAUCGAAAGAUGAAAAGCACUUUGGAAAGAGAGUCAAACAGCACGUGAAAUUGUUGAAAGGGAAGCGCUUGCAGCCAGACUUGCUUACAGUUGCUCAUCCGGGUUUCUACCCGGUGCACUCUUCUGUAGGCAGGCCAGCAUCAGUUUGGGCGGUAGGAUAAAGGUCUCUGUCACGUACCUCCUUUCGGGGAGGCCUUAUAGGGGAGACGACAUACUACCAGCCUGGACUGAGGUCCGCGCAUCUGCUAGGAUGCUGGCGUAAUGGCUGUAAGCGGCCCGUCUUGAAACACGGACCAAGGAGUCUAACAUCUAUGCGAGUGUUUGGGUGUCAAGCCCGAGCGCGUAAUGAAAGUGAACGGAGGUGGGAACACGCAAGGGUGCACCAUCGACCGAUCCUGAUGUCUUCGGAAGGAUUUGAGUAAGAACAUGGCUGUUGGGAGGCGAAAGAUGGUGAACUAUGCUUGAAUAGGGUGAAGCCAAACGAGACUCUGGUGUAGGAUCGCGCCGGUUCUGAUGUGCAAGUCGAUCGCCAUAUUUGGUUUGGGGGCGGGGGACUAAGGGAUCUUUUUUCUCCCUGGUACCUGGGUCAGUAAUUCCCCGAAAAAAAGAAA